CACCACUAAUCCACUAAUCAAUACACGUUUAUUUUUCACUUUCUCUCUCUAGCGGUUUUUCUCUCUCCUCCGUUCGUUUUUGUUUCCGCGUGCGCGCUCAAUUCAUCACACCGUGUGAUCAACCCUACCUCUCCCUUCUCCUCAGAUCAUUUCAUCCCUAAUUUUGGGAUCUAGGGUUUUCGUUUCACUUUUCUCUUCCAUCUUGUUUCGUUCCUUUAGGGUUUCUUUUUUCCCCUUCAAUUCGAUAUUGAUCCAUCGAUUGUUUCUCUAUUUUGUUUGUUAAUUUGACAAAAAUAUAAAAAAGAUUCAAUUCCUUCUUUUCAAUUUUUCAAUUCUUGUUAUUUUGAAAGAUCAUGGGGAGUUCUGAAGGGAUGGGGGCAUCGUCGAAGCCUGCGAACGCUCCUUCGCAGGCGCCGCCGUUGAAACAAUAUGGUGUCACCAAGCCGAUUUCAAUGGCUGGGCCAACCGUUGCUGAUUUGAAACGCACUCAGAAUUUGGAGAAGUUUCUGGCUGAUUCUGGGCUUUAUGAGGGCAAUGAGGAGGCUUCCAAGAGAGUAGAGGUCCUUCAGCGGCUUGAACAGAUUGUCAAAAAUUGGGUAAAGCAGCUGACUCGUCUGAAGGGGUACACUGAUCAAAUGGUCCAAGAUGCAAAUGCUCUCAUAGUCACUUUUGGUUCUUAUCGGCUUGGAGUUCAUGGUCCUGGUGCUGACCUAGAUACACUUUGUAUUGGGCCAUCCUAUGUUAAUAGAGAGAGUGAUUUUUUCUACACAUUGCAUGAGAUUCUAGCUGGCCUGGAUGAAGUUACUGAACUGCAACCAAUUUCGGACGCUCAUGUCCCAGUUAUGAAGUUCAAGUUUGAUGGAAUAUCGAUCGACCUUCUUUAUGCUAGUAUUUCUCGUUUGAUUGUACCUGAAGAAUUGGAUAUAUCUGAUGUCUCUGUUCUACACAAUGUUGAUGAGCCUACGGUUCGAAGUUUGAAUGGUUGUAGGGUUGCAGAUCAAAUUCUAAAGCUUGUUCCAAAUGUUGAGUACUUUCGAACAACACUCCGCUGCUUGAAGUAUUGGGCCAAAAGACGAGGUCUUUAUUCCAAUGUGACAGGUUUUCUUGGUGGUGUGAACUGGGCACUUCUUGUAGCUCGAGUGUGCCAGAUGUAUCCAAAUGCAGUUCCGAGCAUGCUUGUCUCCCGGUUCUUUAGGGUAUAUACACAGUGGAGGUGGCCUAAUCCUGUCAUGUUAUGUCCAAUAGAAGAGAAUGAGCUUGGGUUUUCAUUGUGGCAUCCUCGCAAAAAUCCUCGUGACCGAACCCAUCUGAUGCCAAUCAUCACUCCUGCCUAUCCAUGCAUGAAUUCAAGUUAUAAUGUUUCUACAAGCACCCUUCGAGUUAUGAUGGAGCAGUUCCAACAUGGCAACAAAAUUUGUGGGGAUAUAGAUUUGAAUAAAAGCUGCUGGAGGGCUCUGUUUGAACCAUACCUUUUCUUUGAAGGCUACAAAAACUUCUUGCAAAUUGACAUAGUUGCUGCUGAUGUUGAUGACUUGCGGAAUUGGAAGGGUUGGGUGGAGUCACGCCUUCGACAGCUGACUUUGAUGAUUGAACGUGAUACUUUUGGGAAGUUGCAGUGUCAUCCCUAUCCUCGGGAGUAUAUUGAUCCUUCAAGGAAAUGUUUACAUAAUGCUUUCUUCAUGGGCCUUCAGAGAAAAGAGGGGGAAGUUGCUCAAGAAGGCUGUCAGUUUGAUAUACGUGCGAGUGUUGAAGAAUUUCGGCAUUCUGUUAAUAGCUACAUGUUCUGGAAACCUGGAAUGGAUAUUCAUGUUUCGCACAUCCGUAGAAGGCAAAUCCCAUGCUAUGUGUUUCCAGAUGGUUUAAAACGAUCUCGACCAUCAAGGUCAGCAGCACAACUGAAGAAGUCUCCUACAUCAAUUCAUGGAAACGAGGUUUCUCCGACUGAACAUGGUGAGAAGAACUUUAAGAGGAAGCAUGAUGACAGAGGGGUGAGGCAGAAUGUUUCAUUGAAAAAACAUUGUGUUAGUCCUCCUGUGGAUAGCUUGACAGGAGGCAGUCCAUGCCUCCGUGCUGGUGACAUGUCCGUUCAUGCCAUAUCUGAUUGUCAAGAUUUGAAAAACGUUAGGAGUACGAGGUUGUCCAAUUGUGAGCAAGAUCAGUUUGAUAGACGAAUGUCUCCAGAAUCCGGGACUGAAUGUGCAUCAAAUUCAAGUGGGGUUACAUCUGUUUCAAGUAAUGGUGGUUCUUCUCCUGAAGAUGUUGGGUCUGCACUGGUGGGAGGCUUUGUUGAGGCAACAACCAGUGGUAGAUUUGAAGAUACGACUUUCAUGGAAGAUUCUGUAAAACUUGGAAACAAUACACUGUCUGGUAGAAAUAAUGACGUAUUACAAAAAGAGCUACAGGCACAGUUGGAGCCAAUUGCAAUGUCAGGGAUGUUUCUUGAUGCUAAGGGAACCUUUGACAACGAUACUUUGCAAAAGACAGUGAUAAGGCAAGUUCAAGUUUUAAUUCAACAAUUACUCUUCUGUUGAGCCUUUCUGUUUACAUUUUUGUUUUUAUGCUGUCUUCUCUGCUUGUAUUUGUAACAGGAGACUCAGUUUAACAUCAACAGCGUAAUUCAACUUGCUAAUCCAUUUCGGUACUCGGAGAAAGCCAGCAAUUUGUUUGUAUUGUAGAUGAAGUAGCACACCCAACAAAAUGCACACAAGUUUAAAGUGUGAUAUUCAAAUAUGGAUGAAAGUAUUCGGCCCGGUGGUGAAAAUUCAAAUUUGUCCUCAUCCAUCCAGAACCUUGAAAAUUAAAUCUAUUUUGCAUUUUAAUGGAGUGAACGACAUAUUCCCCAAAAGAUGCAGAAAUUUGGAGGAAUAGUAGAUUUAUUUGUAUGUUACACUUUUUUAAUGUAUCAUAGAAAACGAUGUAAUCGUGAUACAAUUUAAUACACUAACAAUAUAUAUUUUACAAUGAUAAUGAAAAUUCAACAAUGAUGGUGUGAA